rnacentral:rRNA from 1 species
AGGAUGAACGCUGGCGGUCUGCUUAACACAUGCAAGUCGAACGGAGUACCUCGGUACUUAGUGGCGGACGGGUGAGUAACGCGUGAGAAUCUGCCCUUAGGUCGGGGACAACCAUUGGAAACGAUGGCUAAAUACCGGAUAAGCCGAGAGGUAAAAGAUUAAUUGCCUAGGGAAGAGCUCGCGUCUGAUUAGCUAGUUGGUGAGGUAAAGGCUCACCAAGGCAUCGAUCAGUAGCUGGUCUGAGAGGAUGAUCAGCCACACUGGGACUGAGACACGGCCCAGACUCCUACGGGAGGCAGCAGCGGGGAAUUUUCCGCAAUGGGCGAAAGCCUGACGGAGCAAGACCGCGUGAGGGAGGAAGGCUCGUUGGGUUGUAAACCUCUUUUCUUGGGGAAGAACAAAUGACGGUACCAAGGAAUCAGCAUCGGCUAACUCCGUGCCAGCAGCCGC